AUGAAACUAUUUUGGCAGGAAUCUACACAUGGGUCUUGAAAAGGAAGAUAAAUAAAGUAUGGAGAGAGAGAGAGAGAUAUAUAUAGAGAGAGAGAGAGGCAUUCAGAUAUCUCCUCCUCCAAUCUAUCAUCAGUUUGUAUAUGCUGCUGGGCCAUCAGCUUGCCUGCAGUCUAAUUCCUUCUUUAUCUUAAGCACCCACCUCAGCAAGCUUAUUAUGAUGAAGUUUUCUAGAGCUAACAGCUGCAGCUUUUGGCUAAGGGCAUAGCAAACCGGCAAGUCACAGAGAGGCUCAGAAGACUCGGAAAGGGUCUU
rnacentral:sRNA from 1 species